rnacentral:rRNA from 1 species
CGGGUGAGUAAUACAUAAGUAACCUGCCCUAGACAGGGGGAUAACUAUUGGAAACGAUAGCUAAGACCGCAUAGGUACGGACACUGCAUGGUGACCGUAUUAAAAGUGCCUCAAAGCACUGGUAGAGGAUGGACUUAUGGCGCAUUAGCUGGUUGGCGGGGUAACGGCCCACCAAGGCGACGAUGCGUAGCCGACCUGAGAGGGUGACCGGCCACAUUGGGACUGAGACACGGCCCAA